rnacentral:rRNA from 1 species
UACGUAGGUGGCAAGCGUUGUCCGGAUUUACUGGGCGUAAAGCGCGCGCAGGCGGUCCUUUAAGUCUGAUGUGAAAGCCCACGGCUCAACCGUGGAGGGUCAUUGGAAACUGGGGGACUUGAGUACAGAAGAGGAAAGCGGAAUUCCACGUGUAGCGGUGAAAUGCGUAGAGAUGUGGAGGAACACCAGUGGCGAAGGCGGCUUUCUGGUCUGUAACUGACGCUGAGGCGCGAAAGCGUGGGGAGCAAACAGG